UCCCUCUUCUCCCUCAGAUUCCAAUUUAUAUCUACUUUACCACUUCCCAUUUCUCUCCAGGUCCAAUUGCCCUUCUUUGCUCCCUAUCCCUUUUAUGGGCUUUCCUGCCUACUUUUUGUCAGUUCUGAGGGACCUCUGGCUGGAGCAUCCUUGCCUACCUUUGUGUCUUCCCUGCCUUGCUCAAUCCCUUUUUCCCUGUCUCAAGCUGCUCCUCCUCCCCUGACUCAGGACUGGCUGUCUCAUCCCCAGCCCUUUUUUGCCAUUCCUUCCUACUCUGGUCAGUAGGAGGCAAAUGAGAGGGCUCAGCAAAAGCCCCACAAGCUCAUUCUUCUAAGGCAGGCGUGAUCAAGGCUGCCUGAUUGUCACUGCCAACUUCUGUGACCAAGGUAGACCUCUUCUUUCUCCUGCAGGAGACUCGAGUCCGGGCAGGGGAGCUGGACCAGGCUCUAGGACGGCCCUUCACCCUAAGCAUCAGUAACCAGUAUGGGGAUGAUGAGGUGACACACACCCUUCAGACAGAAAGUCGGGAAGCACUGCAGAGCUGGAUGGAGGCUCUGUGGCAGCUUUUCUUUGACAUGAGCCAAUGGAAGCAGUGCUGUGAUGAAAUCAUGAAAAUUGAAACUCCUGCUCCCCGGAAACCACCCCAAGCACUGGCAAAGCAGGGGUCCUUGUACCAUGAGAUGGGUAAGUGAGAGGAAUGUGAACUCCAGGAAGCUAAUGGGAAGUAGGGUUGGGGACUUCAAGAGAAACCAGAUAAUGGAAACAGAGAGAAAGCACACUCUGGGCUACACCAGAUCUCUGGGGACCCAAGUCUCACCCAAUCUUGUGUGUUCUUUUCUCCUCUCCAACUCUUUUUAGAACCACCUCCACCAAAGUUCAAAACAAAACCCCAGUGAGCCAGGAUCAUUUCAUUAAUUUCUUUCCUAAUUUCUUCUUUUCUGUUUCCCUUUCUGCAUGUGGAUUCCUGUCUCUUCUUCUGACCCCUCACUUGCCUGGCACCGCUUUCAUUUUCUCCUCUUGGUUUCUUCACCCACCUCUGCUCCCCACUCCUCCCCUUCCCAUCCCCAUCUACCUUGUGCCCCAUGUCCCACAGUCUUAUCAGAGCCUGUAGCCCCAGGGGGCCCAGGUGAGGGGCUGCUCCUGCAGGAUAACGCAAUCUCCACUGAGAUCCAGGCUUUGCUUUCCUCCUAUUACAGUGACAGGUGAUAGGGCUGGGUAGGCUUGGGGCCUGAGCUCUGACUAGCCCAACCCUCCCCCAACCCCUUCCUGGUGCCACAGCUAUUGAGCCGCUGGAUGACAUCGCAGCGGUGACAGACAUCCUGACCCAGCGGGAGGGCGCAAGGCUGGAGACACCCCCACCCUGGCUGGCAAUGUUUACAGACCAGCCUGCCCUGCCUAACCCCUGCUCGCCUGCCUCAGUGGCCCCAGCCCCAGACUGGACCCACCCCCUGCCCUGGGGGAGACCCCGAACCUUUUCCCUGGAUGCUGUCCCCCCAGACCACUCCCCUAGGGCUCGCUCGGUUGCCCCCCUCCCACCUCAGCGAUCCCCACGGACCAGAGGCCUCUGCAGCAAAGGCCAACCUCGCACUUGGCUCCAGUCACCAGUGUGAGAGAGAAAGGUGCUGGCAUAGGAUCUGCCCAGAAGAGAAAAUGACCCAUGCGCAGUUGGGCUCUGGAUACGGCGCUGUCUAUAGCAAGUUGGCCAGUCUGGCCUCCUGUUCCUCUGCUGGACCUGGGGUAGGCUGCAGGGGUGGGCAGAAGCCCCUCUUAAAUUGUGGUUGCCAUGGUACCGAGGGACUCAUUCCUGGGGCUCGCUGGGACCUCCCUAAACCCUUCCUGGAAGAAAACUGGAACCAACUCUGCCCUACCUCCCUGCACUAACCAGCUUUGAGGAUGGCACUGAAGAACCCUUGGAGCAAACAUACCUCCCUUGUGACUCCCACAUCAACCAUUAAAGUUAUUUAACAGCA
rnacentral:lncRNA from 1 species